rnacentral:rRNA from 1 species
AUGCGACAAAAGGUUCGCUGCUCCUUUCUCUUCCUCGGCGCCGCCGGAUCUGCGGCAGCUCCUGCCCAUGGUCCCCUGCCGCGCCGAGGGAGCACGGCGCCGCUGAGAUGCGGGGCGAUGCACUGCCGCCUACUGCGCCCUUGGCCUUCUCUCAUCCCCUGCCCCUCCCUCCUCUUCGGCGACGGCGAGCUCUACGAGUCGGGGGCCUCCCCGCUCGUCUUCCUGAUCCAGGGCGGCGGCAUGAACCUCUCCCGCGUCGGCGAGAAUCUCCUCAGCUCCGUCUGCUGCGCGCGCUCCCUCGCCCUCCUCCCUCCGACCCAGCCCCUUCCCGUGUUGAGGUUCCAGCUCGAGCUGUUGUUGCGGCGACGGCUAGAUUUGAUGUCACUGAAGUUCUAA